AUGGUAUUGCAGUGGCAUCACAUCCCAAUACCAGAUCGCAAUGUGGUGUCAUAGUGUUGGCUGGAACAGGAGGCCCAUGGCAACUGCAGGGAGGAUGUAAUAUCCCUGGGCUGUCAUUCUGUGAAGAACAGCUGUCAUUCCUCCCAUUGUGUGUGUGUGUGCGUUUGAGCGGUGGAGAGAAUAUGGGAAAGACAGAGAACUGCCAUUGAGGAAGAUGAUGAUCCUACUUACAGAUGAACAUGCCACUUUUCGGAGAGCACAAGCUGGCAAGAAGAGGUAUGGGGCUGCUGUGUUCUUUUUGGCUUCAGCUAAGCUUACUGCUUUAUGCCAGAGACACAAAGACAGUGGCCCCAAAUCUGUUCCUAUGGAAGUCAAUGGCAAAGCUUCCACUGGGACAGGAUCAAUCCAGAAAGAGAGAGAGAGAAAGCAGAAGCCCAGUUGACACAGGACUCAACCAAGUUAAGACCCCAUUUAGACAUGGUUCCAUACAAAAUAAUUUAACCACAAUUUGGCCCCAUCCAUCCUGAACAGCCAAAUAUUUUUAGCUGGAAUUGUUGUUUAAACAGAAUUUUAAACCAGGUGAGCAGACUCCUUGAAACCCACUGUAGAGUUUGCCAGAGAAAGAUUGG